rnacentral:rRNA from 1 species
GACAGAGGGUGCAAACGUUGUUCGGAAUUACUGGGCGUAAAGCGCGUGUAGGCGCCCCUGCAAGUCGGAUGUGAAAUCCCACGGCUCAACCGUGGAAGUGCAUUCGAAACUGCAGGGCUAGAGUCCUGGAGAGGAAGGUGGAAUGCUUGGUGUAGAGGUGAAAUUCGUAGAUAUCAAGCGGAACACCGGUGGCGAAGGCGGCCUUCUGGACAGUGACUGACGCUGAGACGCGAAAGCGUGGGGAGCAAACAGG